AGUGAACGCUGGCGGUAGGCCUAACACAUGCAAGUCGAACGGCAGCACAGUAAGAGCUUGCUCUUACGGGUGGCGAGUGGCGGACGGGUGAGGAAUACAUCGGAAUCUACUUUUUCGUGGGGGAUAACGUAGGGAAACUUACGCUAAUACCGCAUACGACCUACGGGUGAAAGCAGGGGAUCUUCGGACCUUGCUCGAUUGAAUGAGCCGAUGUCGGAUUAGCUAGUUGGCGGGGUAAAGGCCCACCAAGGCGACGAUCCGUAGCUGGUCUGAGAGGAUGAUCAGCCACACUGGAACUGAGACACGGUCCAGACUCCUACGGGAGGCAGCAGUGGGGAAUAUUGGACAAUGGGCGCAAGCCUGAUCCAGCCAUACCGCGUGGGUGAAGAAGGCCUUCGGGUUGUAAAGCCCUUUUGUUGGGAAAGAAAAGCAGCAGGUUAAUACCCCGCUGUUCUGACGGUACCCAAAGAAUAAGCACCGGCUAACUUCGU
rnacentral:rRNA from 1 species